GACGAACGCUGGCGGCGUGCUUAACACAUGCAAGUCGAACGGAAAGGCCCUGCUUUUGUGGGGUGCUCGAGUGGCGAACGGGUGAGUAACACGUGAGUAACCUGCCCUUGACUUUGGGAUAACUUCAGGAAACUGGGGCUAAUACCGGAUAGGAGCUCCUGCUGCAUGGUGGGGGUUGGAAAGUUUCGGCGGUUGGGGAUGGACUCGCGGCUUAUCAGCUUGUUGGUGGGGUAGUGGCUUACCAAGGCUUUGACGGGUAGCCGGCCUGAGAGGGAGACCGGCCACAUUGGGACUGAGAUACGGCCCAGACUCCUACGGGAGGCAGCAGUGGGGAAUAUUGCACAAUGGGCGGAAGCCUGAUGCAGCAACGCCGCGUGCGGGAUGACGGCCUUCGGGUUGUAAACCGCUUUCGCCUGUGACGAAGCGUGAGUGACGGUAAUGGGUGAAGAAGCACCGGCUAACUACGUG
rnacentral:rRNA from 1 species